rnacentral:rRNA from 1 species
GUAGGUGGCAAGCGUUGUCCGGAAUUAUUGGGCGUAAAGCGCGCGCAGGCGGUUCUUUAAGUCUGAUGUGAAAGCCCACGGCUCAACCGUGGAGGGUCAUUGGAAACUGGAGAACUUGAGUACAGAAGAGGAAAGCGGAAUUCCACGUGUGGCGGUGAAAUGCGUAGAGAUGUGGAGGAACACCAGUGGCGAAGGCGGCUUUCUGGUCUGUAACUGACGCUGAGGCGCGAAAGCGUGGGGAGCAAACAGGGAUUAGAUACCCUGGUAGUCCACGCCGUAAACGAUGAGUGCUAAGUGUUAGGGGGGUUUCCGCCCCCUUAGUGCUGCAGCUAACGCAUUAAGCACUCCGCCUGGGGAUACGGCCGCAAGGCUG